rnacentral:lncRNA from 1 species
UUACAAAUAAAUAUAGUUUUAUUGUCUCCGUCAAAAAAAUUCUCAGAAAAAUUAAUGACUUAAACAAAUAUAAUGAAAGCAUACCAAGAAUACAUUUAAAAUAAUUAAACUUGAAAAUUAGAGAGACGGAGAAAACAAGUUUAGUAAUCCUUGGUAAGGCAUGAAAUUAUUUUUAAACUUUCAAAUGGAAAAAGUAUUAAAAGGAACCAUCGCAAACCAAUAGAUAGAAGGCUCAGAUUCAUCAUUUGUCAAUCACAAGAAGAAGAUACCAUACAUCUUCCAACCUCUUGCUCAAAUCCCAUCGUAAGAGGUAGACAUAGCUGCAGUGGUUGCCAUGCUGACCAUCCAAAUUGCCCCGCCAUCAUCCUCUCAGGAUUGGAAAACAGAGCAUUGAAGAGAGAAGGCAGAGUAUUUGGGCUUCAUACUUAUGUAUAAGUAUCCGUGACUUGCCAUCACCAUGGAGAUAUAAUCUAAAUCAUGGUUCGCAAUACCGUACCGGACCGGUAUUUCGAACUGGGCUCGGUACCGGUACGGUACGGUAUACCGAGAGGUACACCUAGGUGUGCCGAGUACUGCUACAGUGCACUCGGACCGGUAAGAGGCGGUCCGCGUACCGACAACCUGUCGGACCGGUACGUACCGCCCGUACCGGGCGGUACAGCUCGGUACGGCAGACCCUGAUCUGAAUCAAUAUCCAACGUAGUGAUUGCUCAAAUCCAUCUUUGAUACUUAUUUAUCAUCAUGGCCUCUUUAUAAUCCAAAAGCAAGACUUUGAAGAGUGAAGAUGAAAUUAAUGCAGCAAAAUGAAAAAUUAAAACAAAAAACAUCAAAACUUUUAAAGGCGGAAAACGAAAGGGAGGAAAUAAAGAAGUAAUGCUCUUGAACAUACUAUUUCCCUCUUGAAAGUAUUAGUUCUUUCCCCACCCCAAAAUUGACGUCAAAUCCCCAAAAUGUUUCAAACUAGAGAUAAUCAGUUAGCUAAGGUUAAAUAUCAGACUCUAAUAGCUUAGCAUUAUGCUUGUGAUGCGAAAAAAGUUGAAAGCAACUUUCCAUGACAGCUAUCCACAAUUUCAACAAAAUUAACAAUCGAAAAUAAGACUUGAAAAAACCAGAGAACAAUAUAUUGUCUAGAGCUUGCAUCAUCAAAUAUCAUACAAUCCCCCUGUUGAACUAUAAAAAGAAAGUGGUCAAACUAUCAGCAACACAAUUCCAAGCUCUGCAAGUUCUAUAAAGCAUAAUUGAUAAUGGGCAUAUCAUCCCAACCAUCGACAACAUACAUAUAUGAAUGAUAGCAAAAUAGCAAACCAUAAGAAACAAAUUAUUUGAGAAAUCAACUGGCCCAACAACUAGAUAAAGUAUGUCUCGUUGCAUCUAGCAAUAAUGAUAUACCCAAACCUGAAAAUGCUUCAUAUUAAUAAAUCCAUGACAAAAGUCAGCAGAUAACUUUAUCCCAUGCAAAAGUCAUUCAAAUAAGAAAUCACAAAUCCAUCUAGAUUUUGCUACCUCUCAAGUUCCCACCAAAGAAUUGUAGUCAUCCAGAAUUUAAUCACAGAUUUCAAAUAAAUACAAAAUGGAGCCUUUAGACUUUUUUUUACCGGACCAACUAUCUCAUUGCAAUAUUUUUUUCCUCAAAAUGAUUUUUAACAGCAUGAUAUUAAUCCUUUAAAGUACAUAAAAUGUUAAAAUAAAGAAAUCUUGAAGAUAACAUGUAAACAUUACAUCAGAAGCUUCAAGUGUUCCAAAUCUCAAAAUAAAUAAAGCUUGAUAAAAAUAUGAAAACUUUCCAAACAGGCAAACAUUUAAAAAUGUGAAAUAAAUACUUAAAAUGUAAUCAAAUUAACAUAACAUUUAUGUUACAAAUAAAUAUAGUUUUAUUGUCUCCAUCAAAAAAAUUCUCAGAAAAAUUAAUGACUUAAACAAAUAUAAUGAAAGCAUACCAAGAAUACAUUUAAAAUAAUUAAUCUUGAAAAUUAGAGAGACCAAGAGAAAACAAGUUUAGUAAUUCUUGGUUAGGCAUGAAAUUAUUUUUAAACAAUCAAAAGGAAAAAGUAUUAAAAAGAACCAUCGCAAACCAAUAGAUAGAAGGCUCAGAUUCAUCAUUUGUCAAUCACAAGAAGAAGAGACCGUACAUCUUCCAACCUCUUACUCAAAUCCCAUCGUAAGAGGAAGACAUAGCUGCAUUGGUUGCCAUGCUGGCCAUCCAAACUGCCCCGCCAUCAUCCUCUCAGGAUUGCAAAACAGAGCAUUGAAGAGAGAAGGCAGAGUAUUUGGGCUUCAUACUUAUGCAUAAGUAUCUACGACUUGCCAUCACCAUGAAGAUAUAAUCUGAAUUAAUAUCCAACUUGGUGAUUGCUCAUAUCCAUCUUUGACACUAAUUUAUCAUCAUAGACUCUUUAUAAGCCAAAAGCAAGUCUUUGAAAAGUAAAGAUGAAAUUAAUACAGCAAAAUUGAAAAUAAAAACAAAAAAUCAUCAAAACUUUUAAAGGCGGAAAACGAAAGGGAGGAAGAAAACAAGUAAUGCUCUUGAACAUACUAUUUCCCUCUUGAAAGUAUUAUUUCUUUCCCCACCCCAAAAUAGACUUCAAAUCCCCAAAAUGCUUCAAACCGGAGAUAAUCAGUUAGCAAAGGAUAAAUAUAAGACUCUAAUAGCUUAGCAUUAUGCUUGUGAUGCGAAAAAAGUUGAAAGCAACUUUCCAUGGCAGCUAUCCACAAUUUCAACAAAAUUAACAAUCGAAAAUAAGACUUGAAAAAACCAGAGAACAAUAUAUUGUCUAGAGCUUGCAUCACCUAAUAUCAUACAAUCACCUAAUGAACUAGAAAAAGAAGUGGUCAAACUAUCAGCAACACAAUUCCAAGCACUGCAAGUUGUAUAAAGCAUCAUUGAUAAUGGGCAUAUCAUCCCAACCAUCGACAACAUACGAAUAUGAAUGAUAGCAAAAUAGCAAACCACAAGAAACAAAUUAUUUGAGAAAACAACUAGUCCAACAACUAGAUAAAGUAUGUCUCGUUGCAUUUAGCAAUAAUGAUAUACCCAGACCUGAAAAUGCUUCAUAUUAAUAAAUCCAUGACAAAAGUGAGCAGAUAACUUUAUCCCAUGGAAAAGUUAUACAAAUAAGAAAUCACAAAUCCUACCAGAUUAUGCAUCCUCUCAAGUUCCCACCAAAGAAUUGUAGUCACCCAGAAUUUAAUCACAGAUUUCAAAUAAAUACAAAAUGAA